rnacentral:rRNA from 1 species
UACAGAGGGUGCAAGCGUUAAUCGGAAUUACUGGGCGUAAAGGGCGCGUAGGUGGUUAAGUAAGUGAAUGGUGAAAUCCCCGGGCUUAACCUGGGAAUUGCCAUUUAAACUGCAUAGCUUGAGUGCAAUAGAGGGUAGUGGAAUUUCCGGUGUAGCGGUGAAAUGCGUAGAUAUCGGAAGGAACACCAGUGGCGAAGGCGGCUACCUGGAUUGACACUGACACUGAGGCGCGAGAGCGUGGGGAGCAAACAGG